CCUACGGGCGGCUGCAGUGGGGAAUAUUGGACAAUGGGCGCAAGCCUGAUCCAGCAAUACCGCGUGUGUGAAGAAGGCCUGAGGGUUGUAAAGCACUUUUAAUCGGGAGGAAUAGCGGUCGGUUAAUACCCGGUCGUCUGACAUUACCGAUAGAAAAAGCACCGGCUAACUCCGUGCCAGCAGCCGCGGUACUACGGAGGGUGCAAGCGUUAAUCGGAAUUGCGGGGCGGAAAGCGUGUAUGUCAGAUGGGAAAGCCCCGGGCUUAACCUGGGAACGGCAUUUGAAACUGAUCGACUAGAGUUGGGUAGAGGGGAGUGGAAUUUCAGGUGUAGCGGUGAAAUGCGUAGAUAUCUGAAGGAACACCAGUGGCGAAGGCGGCUCCCUGGACCCAAACUGACGCUGAGGCACGAAAGCGUGGGUAGCAAACAGGAUUAGAUACCCUAGUAGUC
rnacentral:rRNA from 1 species